AGCUAUUUCCCUUUAUGCAAAUUAGUACAGCUUCUCAUUGGUAAAAAGGGCAGGCGCCUUUAUAUCUGAAUGUGCAACCCAGAGAGCUACUCAGCACAGAAAUCACCAUGAAGGAUAUAUUUUCUCUUCUGAUCCUGAUGAAACUUGUUUCAUGUGUCAUCUGUCAGAUUACUUUGGACCAACCUGGCUCUGCAGUUGUGAAUCCAUCAGGAACCCUUAAACUUUCCUGUAAAGUCUCAGUGUCUGUAAGUAGUGCACCCUGGGCAUGGAUCUGGCAGGCUCCUGGGAAAGGACUGGUGUAUAUGGGGUAUUUAGGCAGCAGCGGGAGCUCUAACCCAGCCUCCUCAUUUCAAAGUCGAGUCACUUACACCAGGGACACCUCAAAGAACGAAAUUUACUUACAAAUGACCAGUAUGAAAAGCGAAGACUCUGGGACAUAUUACUGUGCAAGAUACACAGUGACAGAAGGAAGUGAAAACUGAUUUUAAAACCUCAUCCUGAGAUGAGAAGAGUGGUUGCUGAAACGCAGAACAUAAAAAUAGGGCUUAUGGAC